rnacentral:misc_RNA from 1 species
GAAAUGCGAUACUUGGUGUGAAUUGCAGAAUCCCGUGAACCAUCGAGUCUUUGAACGCAAGUUGCGCCCGAAGCCAUUAGGCCGAGGGCACGCCUGCCUGGGUGUCACACCAAGUAUC